GACGACGCUGGCGGCUGCUUAACACAUGCAAGUCGAACGGUGACGAGGAGCUUGCUCCUCCGAUCAGUGGCGAACGGGUGAGUAACACGUGAGCAACCUGCCCCUCACUCUGGGAUAACAGUUGGAAACAGCUGCUAAUACCGGAUACGACACAGACAGGCAUCUGUACUGUGUGGAAAGUUUUCGGUGAGGGAUGGGCUCGCGGCCUAUCAGUUUGUUGGUGGGGUAAUGGCCUACCAAGACGACGACGGGUAGCCGGCCUGAGAGGGCGACCGGCCACACUGGGACUGAGACACGGCCCAGACUCCUACGGGAGGCAGCAGUGGGGAAUAUUGCACAAUGGGCGAGAGCCUGAUGCAGCGACGCCGCGUGAGGGAUGACGGCCUUCGGGUUGUAAACCUCUUUCAGCAGGGAAGAAGCGAAAGUGACGGUACCUGCAGAAGAAGCACCGGCUAACUACGUG
rnacentral:rRNA from 1 species